GACUUAGCUCAGCCUGGUAGAGCGCUUGCUUUGGGAGCAAGAUGUCGUAGGUUCAAAUCCUAUAGUC
rnacentral:tRNA from 1 species